UCUGGAUGAGAACUAAAGGGAACAGAACACAGACCGCUGUCCAUAAUGAUGCAGAUGAAGGUUCAGUGGUGUAUGAAAACGUUGGAGAACCUUCUGUUUCUAUCAGACUCCCCUGAGCAACAACUUCAACAUCAGCUCAGAAAAAGAGUCCACUGCAGUUAAACAGCAUCUCAGGAUCAUUUUAUGUUUUGUGGUUGUGGUUACAGACAGAUACAGAAAGCAUCUGUAUUUUCAUAAAUUUGCAUGUUGUAGCUUCGCCUCAGUUUUAAUAUUGUUUGUGCAGAACAAACAGCCUUGCAGGGCCUUGCAGAAGUCCCUCAAACCUGCAUUCUUCCUAAUGUCCAGCAGGGG